rnacentral:rRNA from 1 species
GACGAACGCUGGCGGCGCGCUUAACACAUGCAAGUCGAACGGAAAGGCCUGCUUUCCCUUGUGGAUUGCGGGUACUCGAGUGGCGAACGGGUGAGUAACACGUGAGUGAUCUGCCCCCAACUUGGGUAUAAGCCUGGGAAACUGGGUCUAAUUCCCGAUAGGACUGCAGGGUGGUGCCUGCGGUGGAAAAUGAUUUUCUAGUGGUUGGGGAUGAGCUCGCGGCUUAUCAGCUUGUUGGUGGGGUAAUGGCCGACCAAGGCGGCGACGGGUAGCCGGCCUGAGAGGGUGGACGGCCACAUUGGGACUGGGAUACGGCCCAGACUCCUACGGGAGGCAGCAGUGGGGAAUAUUGCGCAAUGAGCGGAAGCCUGAUGCAGCGACGCCGCGUGGGGGAUGACGGCCUUCGGGUUGUAAACUCCUUUCGACCGCGAGGAAGCCACCUGGUUGGAAGGGUGGUGACGGUAGUGGUAGAAGAAGCACCGGCUAACUACGUG